rfam:Stegodyphus mimosarum contig83426, whole genome shotgun sequence.
GCCUUUGUGGUGUAAGGGCCAGCACACUCGACGCGUAUUCGAGAGGUCCGAGGUUAGAGUCCCGGCGAGGGCA